CGAAGGAACAAUAUGGUUGUAGCAGACCUUAUUGGUGAAUUGAAGACAGAUCUGUCUGAGACUGGAAUCAUCAACUAUUUGUUGAAUAAGAAGAUCAUGAAGUAAAUAAUAAUCUAUGCAAGAAGGCUCUUUGGGGUUUGAGCAAGUCCUAAAGGAUCAUCUACUGAAGUUUUUACCAAGAAGGUAUCACAUCUGAAACUGUCUUUCCAUAAAGUUGCCCUACCACUAAACCACCAACCAAAGAGUACACAUGGAGGGAUCCAUGGCUCCAGCUGCUUAUCUAGCAGAGGAUGGCCUUGUUGGACAUUAAAGGGAGGAGAGGUCCUUGGUCCUGAGAAGGCUCGAUGCACCAGUAUAGGGGAAUGCCAAGACAGAGAAGCAGGAGUGGAUGGGUUGGUGAGCAGGAGUAGCGGGGGAUGGGAUAGGGUGUUUUCGGAGGGGAAAACAGGAAAAGGAAUAACAUUUGAAAUGUAAAUAAAGAAAAUAUCUAAUUAAAAAAGAAUCAAAUAAGAUAGUUAAUAUCAGAAAUUGUGAAAGUGAUAAACAUUAAAAAGUAUGCAAAUAGAUAAUUAGCAAUGAA